UACGGGGGGGGCAAGCGUUGUUCGGAAUUACUGGGCGUAAAGGGCUCGUAGGCGGCCAACUAAGUCAGACGUGAAAUCCCCAGGCUCAACCUGGGAACUGCGUCUGAUACUGGAUGGCUUGAAUCCGGGAGAGGGAUGCAGAAUUCCAGGUGUAGCGGUGAAAUGCGUAGAUAUCUGGAGGAACACCGGUGGCGAAGGCAGCAUCCUGGACCGGCAUUGACGCUGAGGCGCGAAAGCUAGGGGAGCAAACGGG
rnacentral:rRNA from 1 species